UGGGGAAUCUUAGACAAUGGGCGCAAGCCUGAUCUAGCCAUGCCGCGUGAGCGAUGAAGGCCUUAGGGUUGUAAAGCUCUUCCAGUGGGGAAGAUAAUGACUGUACCCACAGAAGAAGCCCCGGCUAACUCCGUGCCAGCAGCCGCGGUAAUACGGAGGGGGCUCGCGUUGUUCGGAAUUACUGGGCGUAAAGCGCACGUAGGCGGACCAGAAAGUAGGGGGUGAAAUCCCGGGGCUCAACAUCGGAAAUGCCUUCUAAACUCCUGGUCUUGAGUUCGAGAGAGGUGAGUGGAAUACCGAGUGUAGAGGUGAAAUUCGUAGAUAUUCGGAGGAACACCAGUGGCGAAGGCGGCUCACUGGCUCGAUACUGACGCUGAGGUGCGAAAGCGUGGGGAGCAAAAA
rnacentral:rRNA from 1 species